CAGCCGUAAACUAUGCUCGCUAGGUGUCAGGCAUGGCGCGACCGUGUCUGGUGCCGCAGGGAAGCCGUGAAGCGAGCCACCUGGGAAGUACGGCCGCAAGGCUGAAACUUAAAGGAAUUGGCGGGGGAGCACAACAACGGGUGGAGCCUGCGGUUUAAUUGGACUCAACGCCGGACAACUCACCGGGGACGACAGCAAUAUGUAGGCCAGGCUGAAGACCUUGCCUGAAUCGCUGAGAGGAGGUGCAUGGCGUCAGUG
rnacentral:rRNA from 1 species